CCUUAGAGUUUGAUCAUGGCUCAGGACGAACGCUGGCGGCGUGCUUAACACAUGCAAGUCGAACGAUGAAGCCGCUUCGGUGGUGGAUUAGUGGCGAACGGGUGAGUAACACGUGGGCAAUCUGCCCUGCACUCUGGGAUAAGCCCUGGAAACGGGGUCUAAUACCGGAUGGGACUGCUGGGGGCAUCCUCUGGUGGUGGAAAGCUUCGGUGGUGCAGGAUGAGCCCGCGGCCUAUCAGCUUGUUGGUGGGGUGAUGGCCUACCAAAGCGACGACGGGUAGCCGGCCUGAGAGGGCGACCGGCCACACUGGGACUGAGACACGGCCCAGACUCCUACGGGAGGCAGCAGUGGGGAAUAUUGCACAAUGGGCGGAAGCCUGAUGCAGCGACGCCGCGUGGGGGAUGACGGCCUUCGGGUUGUAAACCUCUUUCAGCAGGGAAGAAGCCUCGUUUUGUGUGCGGGGUGACGGUACGUGCAGAAGAAGCACCGGCUAACUACGUGCCAGCAGCCGCGGUAAUACGUAGGGUGCGAGCGUUGUCCGGAAUUAUUGGGCGUAAAGAGCUCGUAGGCGGCGUGUCGCGUCGGAUGUGAAAGCCCGGGGCUUAACCCCGGGUUGGCACUCGAUACGGGCAGGCUAGAGUUCGGUAGGGGAGACUGGAAUUCCUGGUGUAGCGGUGAAAUGCGCAGAUAUCAGGAGGAACACCGGUAGCGAAGGCGGGUCUCUGGGCCGAUACUGACGCUGAGGAGCGAAAGCGUGGGGAGCGAACAGGAUUAGAUACCCUGGUAGUCCACGCCGUAAACGUUGGGCACUAGGUGUGGGCCACAUUCCACGUGGUCCGUGCCGCAGCUAACGCAUUAAGUGCCCCGCCUGGGGAGUACGGCCGCAAGGCUAAAACUCAAAUGAAUUGACGGGG
rnacentral:rRNA from 1 species